rnacentral:rRNA from 1 species
ACGCCUAACACAUGCAAGUCGAACGCAGUAGCAAUACUGAGUGGCAAACGGGUGAGUAUAAUGUGGGAAUCUGCCUUUUGGUUUGGAAUAACACGGGGAAACUUGUGCUAAUACCGGAUAAGCCCUUACGGGGAAAGUUUUAACGCCGAAAGAUGAGCCUGCACUUGAUUAGCUAGUUGGUAAGGUAAAAGCUUACCAAGGCAACGAUCAAUAGCUGUUCUUAGAGGAAGACCAGCCACAUUGGGACUGAGACACGGCCCAGACUCCUACGGGAGGCAGCAGUGGGGAAUCUUGCACAAUGGGGGAAACCCUGAUGCAGCGAUGCCGCGUGAGUGAAGAAGGCCCUUGGGUUGUAAAACUCUUUCGUCGGGGAAGAAAAUGACUGUACCCGAAUAAGAAGGUCCGGCUAACUUCGUGCCAGCAGCCGCGGUAAUACGAAGGGACCUAGCGUAGUUCGGAAUUACUGGGCUUAAAGAGCUCGUAGGUGGUUAAAAAAGUUGAUGGUGAAAUCCCAAGGCUCAACCUUGGAACUGCCAUCAAAACUUUUUAGCUAGAGUGUGAUAGAGGUAAGUGGAAUUUCUAGUGUAGAGGUGAAAUUCGUAGAUAUUAGAAAGAACACCAAAUGCGAAGGCAACUUACUGGGUCACUACUGACACUGAGGAGCGAAAGCAUGGGUAGCGAAGAGGAUUAGAUACCCUCGUAGUCCAUGCCGUAAACGAUGUGUGCUAGACGUUGGAAAUAUAUUUUUCAGUGUCGCAGCGAAAGCAUUAAGCACACCGCCUGGGGAGUACGACC